rnacentral:rRNA from 1 species
AUGCUGAAAAGUUUGCCAAAGUUGAGUCGCCAGGAACUUGAAGUAGUGCGUGAGGAUUUUAGCAACAUAAUUGGCUCAACUCCGGAGAUUGUAGUCUACAAAGGAACAAUGAAGGAUGGACCUGAGGUUUUUGUCAUAUCAUUAUGCGCCUUUGAAGGUCAUUGGACUAGCGAGCAUGAGCUCUUUUACCAAAACAAGGUUAUGAUCUGGCAAGGUUGA